rnacentral:rRNA from 1 species
GAUGAACGCUGGCGGCAUGCCUAAUACAUGCAAGUCGAACGAGGCAUCUUCGGAUGCCUAGUGGCGAACGGGUGAGUAACACGUAGGGAACCUGCCCAUGCGGCCGGGACAACUUCCGGAAACGGAUGCUGAUACCGGAUAAGGAAAGCGAAGGCAUCUUUGCUUUGUUAAAGGAGCUGCAAGGCUCCGCGCAUGGAUGGACCUGCGGUGCAUUAGCUGGUUGGUGAGGUAAAGGCUCACCAAGGCGACGAUGCAUAGCCGGCCUGAGAGGGCGAACGGCCACACUGGGACUGAGACACGGCCCAGACUCCUACGGGAGGCAGCAGUAGGGAAUUUUCGUCAAUGGGCGCAAGCCUGAACGAGCAAUGCCGCGUGAACGAGGAAGGUCUUCGGAUCGUAAAGUUCUGUUGAGAGGGAAAAAGGGUCACCAGAGGAAAUGCUGGUGAAGUGAUAUUACCUUUCGAGGAAGUCACGGCUAACUACGUGC